rnacentral:rRNA from 1 species
CCUACGGGAGGCAGCAGUCGAGAAUCAUUCACAAUGGGGGAAACCCUGAUGGUGCGACGCCGCGUGGGGGAAUGAAGGUCUUCGGAUUUUAAACCCUUGUCAUGUGGGAGCAAAUUAAAAAGAUAGUACCACAAGAGGAAGAGACGGCUAACUCUGUGCCAGCAGCCGCGGUAAUACAGAGGUCUCAAGCGUUGUUCGGAAUCACUGGGCGUAAAGCGUGCGUAGGCUGUUUCGUAAGUCGUGUGUGAAAGGCGCGGGCUCAACCCGCGGACGGCACAUGAUACUGCGAGACUAGAGUAAUGGAGGGGGAACCGGAAUUCUCGGUGUAGCAGUGAAAUGCGUAGAUAUCGAGAGGAACACUAGUGGCGAAGGCGGGUUCCUGGACAUUAACUGACGCUGAGGCACGAAGGCCAGGGGAGCGAAAGGGAUUAGAUACCCGGGUAGUC